GAUCAUGGCUCAGGAUGAACGCUAGCGGCAGGCCUAAUACAUGCAAGUCGGGCGGCAAGUCGAGGAGUAAUCUGAGACCUAGAGCGGCGCACGGGUGCGUAACGCGUAUGCAACCUGCCCCUUACCGGGGGAUAGCCCGGGGAAACCCGGAUUAAUACCCCAUAGUAUGAAGAAGUGGCAUCACAUUUUCAUUAAAGAUUUAUCGGUAGGGGAUGGGCAUGCGUAGGAUUAGUUAGUUGGCGGGGUAACGGCCCACCAAGACUUUGAUCCUUAGGGGUUCUGAGAGGAAGGUCCCCCACACUGGCACUGAGAUACGGGCCAGACUCCUACGGGAGGCAGCAGUAGGGAAUAUUGGGCAAUGGGCGGGAGCCUGACCCAGCCAUGCCGCGUGCAGGAAGAAGGCGUUAUGCGUUGUAAACUGCUUUUAUACGGGAAGAAAAGGCCCAUGCGUGGGACAUUGCCGGUACCGUAUGAAUAAGCACCGGCUAACUCCGUGCCAGCAGCCGCGGUAAUACGGAGGGUGCAAGCGUUGUCCGGAUUUAUUGGGUUUAAAGGGUGCGUAGGCGGCCCGUUAAGUCAGCGGUGAAAGUCUGUGGCUCAACCAUAGAAGCGCCGUUGAUACUGAUGGGCUUGAGUGCCGUAUGGGUACAUGGAAUUGAUGGUGUAGCGGUGAAAUGCAUAGAUACCAUCAGGAACACCGAUAGCGUAGGCA
rnacentral:rRNA from 1 species